AGUAAAAUGCCUGAUUAAAGGAUUAUCGUGAUAGGAUAAAUAAUGUAAAUUAUUACUUUUACUA
rnacentral:tRNA from 1 species